GACGGAGGAUGCAAGCGUUAUCCGGAAUGAUUGGGCGUAAAGCGUCCGCAGGUGGCAGUUCAAGUCUGCUGUCAAAGACCGGGGCUUAACUUCGGAAAGGCAGUGGAAACUGAACAGCUAGAGUAUGGUAGGGGCAGAGGGAAUUCCUGGUGUAGCGGUGAAAUGCGUAGAGAUCAGGAAGAACAUCGGUGGCGAAGGCGCUCUGCUGGACCAUAACUGACACUCAGGGACGAAAGCGUAGGGAGCGAACAGG
rnacentral:rRNA from 1 species